CCAAGUCUUGUUCCAGCCCACCUUGAAGCCCCCUGAUAAGGGGUCUCUGAGGGGCCAGACGCUCUCUUGAAAUCCCCGCUCUCUUGCAACUUUCCCCCACUUGGAACUUCCACCCUCUCCUGGAGCAUCCUCUCUACCCGUUGUCUCUCCCCUCCCCCAUCACCUCAGGCCUUGCCACGUGCUGCGUCUGGCAGUUCCAAGCAAGACCUUUCACCAUCUGUAAUAAACCUGAUAUUCUAAGAGCAGCCUUCAGAGAUCUCUUGUGUCCAUUCAUCAAAACUGUCCUGGAGCCCAGCCUUCUCUACAAGCAUGUACCUCAUUUUGGAUGAUGGUUCAUUCUCAUAAAUGACUCUCUCAUUUGUAUGAAUAAGACUUCCACAGUGGGCAGUUCAGACCUUAACUAUUAAUGGAAUGUGAAAAAGUUGUGGAAAAUGGUCAUAGCAGUUUUCUAACCUAGCAAUAGAGGAAAUGGGUUUGGAUCUGACUCCAAGAAUAUUCACUAUGGCUUCCAAUUAGAACACAACUUGAUCCUCUUACUUUUUCUAUACCUGUCCCUAGCCAGAUUAAUGGAACAAACUCAUAAGAUCACUUUGCUAAAACUGCCUAUAAAACCAAAAUGCUGAACAGGAUGCACUAAUCCUCAUUUUGAAAAUGGAAAUCAGCCUAUUAAACUAACUUCACUGCUAAUUGUUGACUGUGACACGAGCUAGUUAAAAGAACAGUUGGAAGCAAUCACAUGCAGAGAACAACAUUUACAGUUUAUACUUCUAAGCUCUGGAUCAGCUCACAUUUAAGUUAGAGGAAAAAUUUGGUUUUAGUGGAACUAGAGCUGAGUCUUAAUUGGUCCAAGUUCUGUGUAAUUCAAUGGAUUUGUCUCUCCUUGAGGGAGCUGUGAACUUCUGUGUAGGAAAACACUGCAGUCAAUCAUUUACUGCUUUAAGGUGAGUUACACCUCAUUGUCCUCUUUUGUCAAUGCCAGAAUGGGAUGCAGAGGAAAGGAAAGGAGUUCAGUGAUCCUAAGAAGGAGGUUAGUUUCCAAAAUUGGGUAAACACAUCAUUCAUUAUUGAGAUUGAUAUAAAACUCAUUAAUUUCAGUGGAUGUUGGACCAGGUUGUCAUUGUCUUUUUUAUGUAGCUUUUGUUGGGCCAAUUGCUGGAUCUCAAAACAAUGAAUACUGCUGUACGUUUUUCACUGGGAUUUGUAUACUAAGUCACCUUACGUCGCCCUGCAUAAUCAUCCAGGUAUUUUACUAUGAAUAUUACAAAUUGAGAUAAUUCCCAUUGGCAUAGUACCUUUCUAAUCACUAAAGCGAGAUAAAAACUUUGAUUACAAAGAAGAAAAAAGAGAAAAACAUACUGCUAGAUAAUUAAAUUGUUUAAUGCCUGUUAUUUGAAAAAUAAAAUAAAAAAUAUCUACUGAGAAAUUGAGGAUUGUUCUUGAAGUAAGCUUUUGCCCUUAGUAUUCCUCAAGGACAAGAUUAAGUAUUUAGGUAGAAAUACAUUGUUACAGUUAUCUUGGAGUAUAUAUAUGCUAAAUCUCUCUAUAGUGCUCAAAAGUAGAGUUUUCAUAAGUUGGAAAAAACAAGAGCUUUCUCAUUUUAGAAUGAGGUGAGAAAUAUGGUUUAAGAAAAGUCAACCAUCUAAGUGGGAAAAAUAACAUAUUUCAAAUUCUAAUCUGAAUAUUUCUAAUUCUAAUAAUUCAAAUACUUCCAGAAAAUAGUUGUGUCAAUAGAUUAUUUUACAGGCAUGGUCAAUGCAAUCAAAUGUUUAUUUAAAUAGUACAGUGUACCAUCCCUGAAACCAAAUGCAAGAGAUUGUCCUGGUCUCUAUGCUGCAGCUGUCAGAAGGAUCAGCAUUAACAACUAACAUCAAGAGCCAGAACUACCUGCAGAUUGAUGCAUGGAGAUGUGUGCUGCACUGUCCCAUCAAAGGUGUACUGUUGCACAGGAAGAAUGAAUGCAUUUCACCAGGCAGAUGAAAAGCAAGCAGAGAGCAGCACAGGAACUGUAGCACUUGCUACUGGCUGACAUGUUCUCCUGAAAGGAAGGCAGACAGAAAGCCAACAAAGUUUGGAGAAAAAGGCAUCUGCCCUCUACAGUGAGCCAUUAUCUACAUGAAUCCAGAUUGUUAGAUAGUGGCACUAGGAAGACAGAUGUCUCAGCAUGAGCUACUGGGAGAACCUUCACAUGGUAUGACUGAAACUGUCUUCGAAAUAUGGAUGGGCUGCAAAACCAGAAAAAAAGGCGCAUGAACUGUGACAGAUCUUCAUUCUCUGCCUCUUAGGUACAAGCAUGAAGGAGUUUUUUUCAAUCCAGACACUCCAUUUUUUUCUUAACAAAUAUCUAAAAAGAUAUCAUGCCAGACAUGAUCUCUUAGUUACAUCAGUAUUAAAACAACCCAGAGGAUCUCUGACCACAA